rnacentral:rRNA from 1 species
UACGUAGGGUGCAAGCGUUGUCCGGAAUUAUUGGGCGUAAAGAGCUUGUAGGCGGUUUGUCGCGUCUGCUGUGAAAUUUCGGGGCUCAACCCCGAACUUGCAGUGGGUACGGGCAGACUAGAGUGUGGUAGGGGAGACUGGAAUUCCUGGUGUAGCGGUGAAAUGCGCAGAUAUCAGGAGGAACACCGGUGGCGAAGGCGGAUCUCUGGGACGGUACUGACGCUGAGACGCGAAAGCGUGGGGAGCGAACAGG